GGGCAGGUGGCGAAAUUGGCUAGACGCACCAGCUUUAGGAGCUGACGCCGCAAGGCAUGAGGGUUCGACUCCCUCCCUGCCCA
rnacentral:tRNA from 7 species